GCCUGUAGCUCAGUUGGUUAGAGCGCAGGUUUGAUAAACCUGAGGUCACAGGUUCAAGCCCUGUCAGGCC
rnacentral:tRNA from 1 species